UAAACAUUUUCAAGUGUCAAACCAUGAAGCACCCACCACCGUAUUGUUGUACCGCAUGCUCAUCAUCUGAUCCAUUUUCUUUGGUCCACUACUCAAAACUGUGGAGGUCAGCGUCUGUUGACUUCAAGGACAAUCCACUUAGCAUUUUGCGCAUCCUGUCAUCGACUCAUUGGAAGUAUCAUGGAGUGAGGCACUCAACCUCAAAAAGCGUCCACUUCAGUAAAGCAUGAGUGCACUUUCCCAUCAAAGCUAACAAGAAAGUGGUGAAGGAGGCCCCAAUGACCUCACUAGAGGGGGCUAGUGGGAGAGGAAAUAUUUGCACAUUUGGUGUGUGGAGGAAAAAGGGGUUAAAAACACCUAGAAACAUUGCCCCUGAACUUUUAAAGUUUAGUCUAUUAGUUAGGUGGAGCAGGAAACAAUUAGAUAAGAGGAAGAGGAUGACCUAACCAUCAUGGAACUUUUAUGAUAGUGUUUAGAUAUGUUGUUACGUGUUCAACAAGAGUCCCAUGAAGUGUUACUUCGUAUAAUUUAACAUAUUUAUAUGUUGCAGACGUGUCGACGUAGGAUUGGCCUUCAUAAAUUUUGUAAAUGAAGUUAUCUUUGUUAUCAGAUAUGUCGAAGAUAGCUCGCUACUACCUACGAAGAAUAUAUCUAAUUAGGAAAACUUAUCUCAGCCAAAGACACCACCAAGCACGUGUUGGGGUAGUUGAGGUAUUGAAAAAGAGGUGGGAAGGAUUAAGAUCAUACUUAAUUAACAAAGGUAAGAAAUAAAUUUAAAAAGCUUCAUUUUGGAUGAUUCUCUUACAAGUGACGAAAGAUGUCGGUGCAUGGUGACUUGAUCCAAAUCCGUAAGAAUUUUUAUAUUCCAACACAAAAAAGAGGCAUGGGAAAAAGUCUUUCCUCGAUGUACUUGGAUUUCAUUGAUGCAUUUGGCUCUUUAUUAAACAAUUUACAUGAAUAAUUUGAUCUAAAUCUGGUGUGCUAGAAUUUUAUGAGUUAUAUAUAUACACUAUUACAAAAAUAAAAUGUUUACUGAUUAGAAGUCAAGUAUGAAAGCUAUCUUGAUCCAUUUAGGUGAAUGAAUCCAGAUUACUAUUCGACUGCUCUCAGUGGUGUUAAAUUUGAUCUUGACAUGCUUAAUCAUGCAGGAUUGGAUAUCUGCUUCAGAUCUUGCAGGUGAUUAGUUUUGGGUCUCAAGAGAGAACUUGCAGUCAAAAAUGUUCCAAGGCUCAAAACGUUUAGUUGUGCAAAGGGUCAAAGGAGCUAAUAUGUUCUUGACUGGGAUGACAAUGCUAAGUGGAUGCAUGAGUGCAGUAAGAAACUAUGCCAAGAAUGUCACAAAGUAACAAUGACACAGUUUGACAAGUAGUGGAAAACGAGCUAAGAUUUCGAGGCCAUGUCCCACAAAAGCACGUACAGCAGGUCGAUGUAAACCUUGGCCUUCAUAAAACAUAAAUGUUAAUUGUGUGCGAGAAUCUAGAGCAGCUUGAAACGAUAAUUAAUGACUUGAAAUUAAAAAAAAAAACAUUGGCAAAAUAAUGAAACUUGAGGCAAGCAUGGUCAGCGAAAGCUGACCUACAAACCAAUGGCAACCAAUUAAUUGUUAUUUUGAUCGAUGGCUAUCAUUGUAAGAAGCUUCACAAAAGUUGGGCAUGCUUCCACCCGUGACCUUGAGAAGGCACUACUGAUGGAGGCAUCGCAUGCACAACAUCACCGAGCAUUGUAAAUAAAACCUUUAACAACUUAAUAGGAUAACAUUUAUAAUGUCGACACUCUCCACCAGCCUAUAAAUCUACGAAAUUUCUUCAAUAUUUUAAAAUGCAGUGGAUACUGUGGCCCGCAUAUGAUACGCAAAUGUGAUCCAUGGCUGCGUCGCAUUGCCUAUACACAGUACUGUACAUGGUCAUACAGUGUUUAAGGACCAAAAAGACAGUCCACCUACCGCUGUCUCGCCAUAUAUGACCAAAAAGACGGACCACUUACCACUGUCUCGCCAUAUAUGUGGAUACUUUAGUAUUUUGUAGCUACAUAUACAUAUAUGAGCUCACUGCAUAAACAACCCACUCUUAUGCAGAUUCAAACUUAUAGUUAAAUUCAACAUAGGUUUAGGUAGACAUGAAAUAAGUACCAAUAGUAUUAAAAAAUAUUGAUUUUAUCGUUUUGGUUAUUUCACUGUGCUUAAUUAUGCAGUCCCUUGAUUGCUAAGUUUUGCAGCCGGAAGAAUGGUAUCUUAUAUUUUCUCAUUCUUGUAUUCGAAGAGAGUUGGAUUAUUCAAUCCACAUACUUUUAGAAAUUGUUAAAUAGAAAUAAAAAUUAAAAAUAAUUUAGGAUUAAAAAAUUUAAUUUUUAGCUUUUAUUGAACUCUAUCAAUGAAGUCCGACAGAAGAAAUAUUUCUUGGCAAAUUAAUACCAAUGGUUGGUAUUAAUGUUAUUGUACAUGCCACUAUCUACAGAAAGGUAUACUGUUACUAAUAUCUACUCCUGAUAUUUAAAUUCUUAUACUACCUACCUAUCUACCUACCUACAUAUAUACAUUAAAUCUUGUUUAAAACUUUCAUAAAAUCUGCUACCAAUAUCUGAAUUCUUUCUAGAAAAUUGUGUGUGUAUAAGAAAAACAUCAUUAUUAUUCAUGGUCAGCAGAUGCAUCCAACCAUCACACAUCUACGAAGUGUCCCUCUUCAUUCACAUGCUCGCUAUAAGCCAAAGUGGCUUGGGACGUGGACUUGGCAACAAAAGUGCUGGCAUCAUGCCAUUAAGAGCAAACAGUCCCCACCACUGGCUAGUGGCGGUGGCUGGCCGCCCUGUGGCAGAAAUAGAGCAGAGAGGUGCUGCAAGGAAAAAAUUGAGGAGGAUUCUUGUGAUUCUAAGAACAUAGGAGAGAUAAUGGGCUACUGUCGCUUUCUCUCUCUUCUUCUCAUCUCAGCCCUUCUUUCCCUCUCCCUCUCUGAAGGUGACUCCCUCCUCUCUCCUAGUAGUAUAUCCAUAUAAAAAGUUUCCUCGUUGUACGAGUCCUCUUCUUUUUUUAUGUCAAAAGAAGCACUCCUGUCUCUUUUUGCUAGGUGUAACAGGACUUGGAAGAAGGAUUGGAAUUCUGAGGCCUGUUGAUAAAGGAGGGCAUUCCUUUGAGCCUGAGGUGGAUUUCUUCUUUAGUUCUUUUAUUUAACUAAACUAGAAGACUUUUCUUAUCAUUUUUUGUGAGUGUUGUCUCAGGAGGAAAGCUCGGGAAGGGAAAUGUUGGAGAUGGAGAAGGACUACAAGGAACCCGGAGCCAACACCAACCCAAGGAAUGGAGACCCCUUCAACCCCCCACUUCGGCCACCAAGGCCUUGAUGGCAUUCCUGUUUACAUUUAAAACUAAGAUAUGAAUCUGUGUCUAUAUAUAGCUAUGGAUAUUCUUCUCUUCCUGAAGAUGUAUCAAUCAAUGUCUAUCUUGUAAAAUAUGUGAGCUUGUUUGUGGAGGAAAGCUAAGGUUUUGUUUUUAGGAUCUUUGUCUAAGAACCGUUGAUGUAGUUCUCAGGCUGGAGAUAUGAAGAUGAAGAAAGCUUUACAAAUGGGAUUAUGAUGUUUUACUUUGGUGUGACUAUUUUGUUGCCUUCAUUAAUUUGCUGAUGGGAGUUCCCACCUUUUAAUACUAAAAAAUAAAGUAAAGAAAGAAAAAAAGAGCUCAGAAUUGGCUGAAAGUGAGGCAGCAUCUUCAUGGAAUCUGUUGGGAACAAGUUGAAGAGUUGAGUCAAGGCAUAGACUAUUAAUUAUAUUUAUUUUAGUUAGGAAGUGGAUAUAAUACACCUUAUGUUUCACAUAAUAAUUUUUUCCAUUGUAGGCAAAGCUGGGAGACUUUGCCAACCCCUAAAAUGAUUGCUGAAAGAAGAGAAGACAUACAGAUGUAGGAGUGUGCAAAAGGGUAGGCUACUGUGAGCUGCAUAGCUGAAACCUACCACUUGCAUCUGCCAUGCAUAGAAAAAAUGUUUUUGAUGCCAAAUUGGUUACCAUGAACAUAUUUGAUGGGAAUUGCAUAACAAUUACAGCUUUCAGCAGCAUGACAGACAAUAUUCUCCAAUUAAAGUUGUUAUACAAAGAUUUCAUAAAAUAAUGCAAGCAAUCUGGUACUCCUAAACAAUUUAGUUAUCCUCAAAGAUGCUAUGCAUCAGGAUGCACUUUUUCCAUGCUGAUGCACUCCAAGAUACCUUAUCAGAGCCUAUUUAAAAAGAAGCAUAAUUGUCAUGCCUCAGGACAAAAAUAUAUGUCAGUCAUUUUUUGCUCGAAUUGAAAUGAAAAAAAUAUUGCAUAAAUCAGCCAUUCUAGGCCAUCAGAAUAUACUUUACGUAUAAAAUUUCUGGCACUAAAAAUUGCAUAUUUGGAAUCACUGACAUAAGAUUUUCCAAUUACAUAAGUGAAUACAUUGUUAAGACUAAAAAAACUCCAUGGAUCACUUACCCAGCUGUUUUCGGUUAGAAAUUUUGGAUUUUUUAUAGAUUGACAUUUUUCAGCUAUUUUCGUAAUUGGAUGUUAGACAGACAUCACCAUAUGCAGAGAGUUCUAGAAGAUCCAUGUCUCAUCCUGAUGUUGUUGGAACUCCAUUAUUAGCAAUCAAGUUAGCAAUGCAUGCCAUAUUCUAUUAGGUAGCAAUCCUGUGUAUAAAUCUGAUAAACAACAUUUUGAUAAAACUUUCAAGUCCCCUGAAACUCUAUAAUAUGCAUUCUUCCGUAUGAGGACAGGUUUGGAUAUUUCAGUCUUAUUUCCCUUAGAACAAUUAACAGUUGCCUGCAAAAUGAGAUUAUUUGUCAAAUAAAUUUAAGUGAGAAGCAAUAGGUGCAGACACUGGAUAUAAUUUAUAAUGUAGACAACAUUAUCAAGUAUGGAAGAAACAACUGUGUAUGUAUUAUAUGGAUUACACCAUAAUUAAAUGGCCCAGCUUUUCUAGUUGCCACACUGCGUGCAAUGGAUGUUGGAAAAUAAUGAUAAACUUCACAACAUCAACACAGUCAAGCAUCAGCAUCAAAGCACAAAAAUAGACAUAAUCAGAUUAAACCAAAUGCUGUUAUGCUUAACCACUAGAACACACCCUCUAAGCAGUUGAGUUUUUACAAGAUGCACAACUUGACACCAGAUUGCCUACAGAAUCACUACAAUGUAUAAUUCAAACACAACUUUUAUGCUACCACUGAAUAUCUGGCUCUAAUUCUAUAGAAAUUCUAAAGUUUUGUUUCUCGCUUCUUCCUUAUUCUAUCUGAUCUGCCUAAAGACACAGGCAAAGGAGAGGCGCAAGAACAAAAUCUUUAAAAAAAAAGAAAAAGAAAGAUGAAAAUCUAAAAACUAAGUUGAAUCCUCCUGAACCAACUCCCACAACUUAAUUGUGGUUGCUGUUACAUUGAAUAGUAGAAGCAGGGAACCAAAUCUCAUCAAAGAAAAACCAGCAUGUCUCACUACCACUACAGGUUCUGAGGCCCAGCAUAUACCAAAAUGAGCACGGGCUUUUUCUAUUUUGUUUUAUUUUUUAUUUUGUAUCAUAUUUUAUUUUACUUUGGAAAGAAGCAAGCUACACCACCUAGAUGACUAGAAUAUAUGUCCCCAAAUAUCAGCUUUGGAAGACUGCAAGAAGCUCAAGUAAUUUUCAUCAUUAAAUCAGGACCCCUCGUAAGUGGAUUUUUUAAUCAUGACUUGUUUGAUGAGAGGAAAUAAAACUAAAGAGUCUGGCCAUGGAAUCACAGUUCCAUCACAAUUUUUUUAUGCAUUAGUCGCUUAAUAAAGCUAACUCAAGCUAAUUUUCUUUUCCUUGGUUAAAUGUUCAACAUCUCUGAUACAUUGAGAUUUUAGAGGAAAGAGAAAGGCUAUAUGUGAGGCCACCCCUUUAGCUUAGACUUUAAAUCAAUAUAUACCCAUAAAAGAGUAAUUUCAGUCUAAUGGAUUAUGCCUCCAGAUCAUGAAAUAUAACAUUUCACUAAAAACAUCAUAAAAGACAAGCAAGAAUGUGGAAUUGCAUGGAUUCAGUCAUUCCAACUAUAUAAAAUGAAACUUAAGCUAAACAGGUCAUCAUAACACUGAUAUGAUAAUUAUUCAGUUGUAAAAGUUCCCAAUACCAAGCAUAUAGGAAGAGAUAGAAAUAGUCAACACACUGAGAAAAACAAGAAAUAGCACACUCACCUGUAAAACUUGGCAAUUUUACAAGGUGCUCUUCCCACCCUGCAUUUUGCAAAUAUUAGAGAGACAAAAGUCAAGCUACCCAUACACCAAAAGGAAAAACAGAGAGAGAGAGAAAGAGAGGAAUUCCAACACCUUAUCAUCAAGAAGCUUACCUACUAUUCUUGCAUUUAUGAUUGCUAUGGUCAAUUAUAUGGAAAUUGAGAAAUCUAGGUUACUGCUUAAUUAUUUAAUAUAUCGGGUUAAGAGAAGCUAAGAAUGCAAAUGAGUGGGCAAAAGAGUAGCUCUUCUGAAGGCAGAACAUAUAAGUUCACAUAAAAAACAAAUAAAGUAACUGCUGGUAUCAUAUGCAGACAGACACAUUUUAGCCAUGAAAAAAAGGAUACUUCCCUAAGAUAUGCAGAGUUUCUGCUCCAUUUGUGAACAACACGCCAUUGUUUUCCUUUCAAUCAUUCUUUUAUCUCUAUAUUCAUACAUAACCAAAGAUGGCAUGAAAACCCUUUUUCUCUUUCUGUUUUUGAUUAACAAGACAUUUCCUUGGCCUAAGAAAACUACCAUUCACCAAUCACUCAAAAUAUCUUCCACACUGAAUGAUAUGAAUGCACCACCAAAUGAUACCGGAAAAUUUUCAAAAUGUCCUUCCACAGUUUAGCAACAAUCCAUGUAUUUUCUACCAAAAUAUCAAAAUUAUAGUUGGCCCAUAAGAAAGAUUUAUUUCUUCGAUUGGGUUUUUAUUAAAUGCCAAAUCAUCACUUCUCUGUUUUCAAACUUGCUAUUAGAUUCAUGUGAAUGACUAUAAUACUUGUGAGUACAUCUUCUAACUUUCAUGAACCAUCUCCAUUUUCCACCCUCUUGUUUUCAAUUUAUGCAAAUAAAUUAUUUCUAAUUAUAAUCAAUCGAAAACUUUGAGUUCCAAUUUCAAUAGAGAAGAAUUGCUAAAUUUCUUCCCUUCGAACAACAAUGCAUUCCAAUGAUUUUGCAUUUCAGCCCUAUUCUUUUCAUCAAAAAAAACAAAAAACAAAACAAAAGCAUUCCAAUGACUAUGAAAAAUGAUGCAGAUGUCUCCCAGCAUAUCGUAUAAACUCGAAAAAAGGGGGUUUCAAAGAAACAUCUCACUGCAUAAAUUUCAAGAGAAUAACAUUGUCCUCCACCAUCGAACUUCAUGCUUUACCAUCCCAUGGUUUUCAGGUAUUUAGACUGCUAUCCUCAGCUAUAAUCCCUACUUAGUUGUCGUCUAUCUGAAAGAACAAGGAACCAUCCUCGAAUAUACAAAUCAUCAUUAGCUCCGACUUUCCAAAAUCUACAAUUCACUGUCAGGAGUUUUAGAAAACAAUUUUUUACUGCUCACUCACGAAAAAUUAGUUUAUAAAAGUAGAAAAAGGUUUUCUGACCUUGUAUAUGUGGACAGCUCUGAAUUUUCAUCCUUUCAGCAUGCACUAGACAUUUCCUGCUCUUCUACAUUUUAUGAUGAAGAUACCAUUUCAGUUUACUGUUAUAACAGUCAUCCAUUUUUGUUUCUUUUUGGGAAAGCCAACAUCUCAUUAGAUCUCAUGACAGGAUUAUCCAUCUCCACCAAGUUAUAGUUUGAAAAACUUCACAUCCUGAUUAUUUUUCACAUUCUGCAUAUUCCAACCACAAGAUUUGAAAGCUCAUUUUGAUAGCCCAAUUGUUCUAAAUCUCCAGUGACCUAUAUCAAUCCACUUUCUUGCACCCAUGCCUCCUUUUAGCAUUCAACACAAGAUCUUCACCACGUCUCAUCCGCAAGUCAAAAUCAUGCAAGACACAUUGAGCACAUAUCCAAACUAUACUUGCUUAUGUCAGAGAUGGACUUCAAAUCUCUCUCCUUAUUCCAAGAUAUAUGCAAAAAAAACAAAAGAAAAUACAAGAAAAAAGAAGACGAAGAGGAAGAUGUUUAGAUCUCAAUACUUUCAAGGAUCGAACCUUUCAAUAGACAAAAAUCGAGCCUGACUUUACCAAUUCAAAUACAAGUUCAGAAUCUCAACAUUUAUUUGUGUUGCAUGCCCUUUAUCUAAUGUUAACAACCAUAUCCAAAUCUGCUAUCAGCAAUCCUAUCUCAACUAUCUAAACUAAGCUUCAUGAUCCCCUUUAACCAUUCUUCCCCAGGAUGUCAAAGCCUGGACUAGAAUACUCGGAAUUCUUACCUCUCGUGUAACCCUCAUACAUAUGCCUCAGCCCCCUCUCUAAUGGUGUCUUUAAUUUUUCAUCGCAUGGUAUCUUGUCAUCUCAUCAGUUAUCAUCAUUUUAGUCCCCUCUCUAAUUUUUCCUCCUGUUGAGGCUUUCCUCUUUAUUUGAGUGGGACCCCAUCAAAGGACAAAAAAAAUCAUAAAUAGAUCAUAAUGUAAGAAUGGUCACCCUACUGAAUUUCCUCCAUGCUGCAUUUCUUAGUCCCUUUCAUUUCUUUAUACUUGUAACGUUUAUUUUCACAAGAAGUUUGAAUCUUCAUGGAUUGUUCUGGAAACUAGGGAAAGUCAGAGCUGAUCUUUUGUGAGUCUCUAUUUCUCCUUUGUGAAGCUUCAAGAGAAAGGACAAGAUGAACGUGUAGAAGUUCUGACAGUUCAAUUUGCAGAGCUUAAGAAAGAACAAAGAAACAAGUAGUUCUUAUCAGCUUUAUGAAGCCUAAUAUCAUGUUUAAGCUUGAUCAAAUGAGUUAUUUCUACUGUUGCAUGUUGAAUCCACUUUCUUACAUGAUUUUUUUUUUUUUUUUUGACAAUUAAGGUGCGUUCCCUUGAAGUUGCCAUCCUCUUGCUUGGCCCAGAGAAGAAGAAAUGUUGUAAUACCAACAAGCCAUUAUUGUAGACAGUGAAUGGUUGAUCUACAGUAGGCCUUGCCAGAUUUUUUUUCCUUUGGGAUGGUGGGUCUGCAUUCUUGGCUUUCUAUUCUUUCUAUACAGCAGGAAUGAGACUAAAUUGCACCCAGGUGUGAAUUUAACAGUAUCACUGUAUUCAGGGCUGAGGUGCAUAGGUUUGUCCUCUGUAUGCAGAGGUUCACAGUUAAUGUGCACAGAUUUGCCAUCAUGUGCAAUGACUACCUACUUGAAGCCCCGAAGUUCACAGAUUACACUCUGGUUAUAAUUUUUUUUUUUUGCCGGAGUCCAUUUUUUUCCUUUUUCUUUUGGGAGAAAAACCUCCUUCAAAUGCAACUAUUUCCAAUUUUUUCCUCUCAAAUUUGCCAUACAUAAACAUAAACUAUAAUGUGUAUCUCAAUUAUCAUCUUUUUAAAAGCUUGACAAGUUGAAACCUACAAAUUCCUGAACCCAUAGCAUACCAAACGAAUUCCCACUUGCUGCAAGAUGCAACAAUCAAAGCAGAAAAAAAUUAAUACAGCAAAUUUGGGACCAUAAAAUUAUAAUCAUCCUUCGAAAUGAACCCAAAAAUAGCCGCCAUAAACUAAGAAAAACAUUGUUCCUCUCUGGUUCUAAACUCUCCAUAAAUCCAAGAUUAGCACUCCAAACAUCAACCUUAAUGGAAAAAUCACAGGAACAACGACAUUUUCUUUUGGUUCAAAGAGAACCUACAUCACAAACCCUCCCAAAAAAAGGAAAAAAAAACCCAAAAAAUCCAAUUUUUCCCCAUGCUAAAGAAGAGAUCGAUAAAGAAACAGCACCAGAUCGAUACCGUGGAAUAGAGGUGACGCAGCGGAGGAAGCGGACGUGUUGUGGAGGGAGUCGCGACCCUUCACCUUCUCUGCCUUUUCCCAGCACUACGGCUUCACGCCUUGGGAAAAGCUCCUGGGCUCCACCGGUGUCGACCACCCGCCGCCGCCGCAUUCGCCGCCGUAGAUCUUCAGCGAGAAGCCUGAC
rnacentral:lncRNA from 1 species